CUGGGUAUCCAUCCUCCUAGACAGAGGUCCUCCCACAGUGCUGAGAAGAAACCUGUCAUGAAGGAUUAACCACGAGUCUGGAGUGUGCCCUGAGGAAGGCAGGGUAAGCAGAGAGUAAAGGAGGUCAUCGUCAGGUUUGAGACCUGUUGACAUUGAGAUCAUAGGAGGUGUAUAGGUGGAGAUAUAGAGAAGAAUUGGAAUCACACCUUGCUCAUAUCAGGAACUCUGUUAUUAUUAUGGAAUUCCUUCUAUUGGAGCAAUAAGAAUCCAUACUCAGUGCACGUAAGAGGAGAGCGAGGCCAAGAAGGUUGAGGAGGAUUCCCCUGUAAGGUCUGCCUGGUGGCAAGCACGUGACCUGGGCAGACUCCACCUGCAACUCAUUUAGCCCUCCAUUCCUGUCUGAUGACCAACCGUGCUGGCAUGCUCUGGACAGCCGACUGCGGACACGGGAGACGAUGCUCGGGAUGUGUUACACUCGAUGGAAUCAAGCUGCACAGCGCUGUGCCACAGCUGUGCCAGGGAGCCCCCAUCCCGCCCUCAGCUGACUUCCUCCCACUGCUUCCUGACUUUGGAAUGAACUUAGGCAGGGAAGAGAGUAUGGUGGAUGGGCUUGGGUUUUGGAUUCUGACAGCCUGGGUCACCUCCUGGUUCUGCCGCUUACCAGCUGUGUGCACAAACACACAGGUCAGGUCAGUUAACUCAAACGCCAACUCUCUCUGCUCACUCUGCUUUGGUUUUGCCCCUUGAAUAUGGCUCCUUUGAUCUCUUUUCUUCUUGAGUCACUAGAGGCAAUCACCAGUAUGUCAUGGGCUGCUUGUCCUCCUGCCUGGCAAUGAGAGCAGGUGCUGACAAACCUCUUGGAGCCCUGGGGGCCCUUCAGAGGCCUCCAUAGCAGGUUACUGCACAUGCAACUGCAGCCCGGGCUGGGGGAAGCCACCCCUCCAGGGGGAACGAGAGGGCCAGGCUGUACUGGGGCCCAGAGAAGGCUCCAGAUGUGCUGAGAAUGGGGACCAGGAGGUCUGACGGUAUGAAGACAAACUGCUGUCCUGUGAUAUCUGAUCCUAUUUUAAUCCCCAGGGCUAUGCCUGGAGAAACUGGUUAUAUUCAUUAGACUUAGAGAUGGAAAAUGUCUCAUUGUCUCAAUUAGCAUCUUGGCUAAUUAGUAUGCUUGAUCUUUUUCUUUUUUCCACAUAUUUAUUGGCUCUUUCUCCUUCCUCAUACCCCAGUAUUUUUUUCUUUUUCCACUUUAUUAAAAACACACAACAGUACAAAACAUUUGCAAGUUUUUCCUUCCUUGGAAUCCACAACCAAGACAAAUGCAAAAUGCCCUUCCUCAGACUCUACUGAACCCUCAGACUAUUUACUAUUUAUCGCCCCACCCCUUCCUGGCACCAUUCUCCUUCAGAUGGUCCCAUGCCAGCUUCUGCUUCUUCUGCCCUCUCCUUUCUGUCCCCUGUCUCUUCCAUCUGGCUUCUGUUCCUGCCAGUGUGUGAAAACUAUGCCCCCACACCCAGAGGAUCUUGGAGCCUCACUCUGCACCCUACCCCUUGUGUCCCAAGUGCUGACCAGGCUCUCUGUCCUUCUGCAGGGAGACUCUGGGGACAUAUCUGUGCUUCUCUCCUGACAGCUCCUUGCUGUUCACUUCCCUCUCUUCCUAACAUGCUGGUGACCCCACAUGAACUUGCCCCAAGUCCUCCCAAGUACCAGUUCUGCAAGUCACAAUGACUGGUGAACCUCUCCAUAUGAUAUUCUGUUGGGGAUUGAAAACAGCCACCAACUACAAUGCUCAGCACUGAAUUCCUGGUAGCCUAGCCUCUGAUGUGGAAAGUGGGGGACGUGUUUCUCUUUCCCGUUGAAUUCCUAGGUAUUUGUGCCUUCACCUCGUAGUGGCCCAAGUAACCAGUGAGUCCCGCCAAGCCUCUCUUUUCCAACUCUGUAUGCUGCUAAGUCACUUCAGUCGUGUCCGACUCUGUGCGACCCCAGAGACAGUAGCCCACCAGGCUCCCCCAUCCCUGGGAUUCUCCAGGCAAGAACGCUGGAGUGCGGUGC